UUAGAGCUUUCCCGCUUGUUCUUAUUAUUAUCUUAUCCUCUGAGAUAAAGAGUAGACGCUCCAAGUACUUAUACAUGUAUCACAGCGGAAGCCUGCGGGAUAGCCAAAUUGUCAGUAAUAGACGAAAUCAGAGAAGUUGGUACAAAUAGGCAUUAAAUUGAAGUGAUCCUGCAAGCCCAAAAAAUUAUUCACUUAAUUUCCACCUCCUCCUCCUCCACCCCCAAAAAAAUGAAUAAAUGUGAAUUAUGUACUUAAAAAUUUGACGGUAGCUGCACUUCUUGGAACCUUUUUUCAAGGCUAAUAAUAAUCACGACUUGCACAGUGCUCAGAGAACUCUAACUAUUGACAAGGCGCAAAAGGGUUCCAAUGAACGAUAGGGCGCAGUGGUCUUUGAAAAACUAACAUUUCGGCGAAUCCCAGUAAGUGACAAUCGAGACCAUUUUUCAAAAGUAACUUAGCAACAUUGAAGAUUCAGAUAAAACGAAUGAAGGACGCUCUUGAGCUUGAAGAAAAACCGUGCUUAAUACGGUGAUGGUUAUUUCGCGUCUGUGCCCUAAGUGACAUCACGAGUAUCAGACGCACAUGGGUAAAGUCAUUGUUUUACACAUCGUUUGCUUCUCUGAGUUUUUCUAGCGUCAUAAUUUUCCUCUCUAAUGUUGUCUGUAGACUCGCAGUGACGUAAAUAUAACGACUGCCGAAUAGAGACUGCCGCCAUCCUGUGUGAUUCUUGUUUCCGAAGAUGAGAACUGUAUCUUAUGUCUGAUCGUCAGUGCCAGCUCUUUUUCCUGUAAUCUCAAACUUUUCGAUCUCCGUUUAAGUAGCAACAUUUCAACGUUCCUUGUCUAUUUCCCAUGUUCAAGUUUGCAUUUUUUUCUUUAAAUAAUUGGUGAGAAUUCAACAUCUCAACAGCUGUUAUCCUUUGAAUCUUCUGUCUUAAUCUUCGUGAUUCAGCAGUAAAAAGACUUCGCCAUUAAUCGAGCAAUAUGGGAAAUAAUCUACGAUCAUCGAUUUCUUUCCGUACCCAUCAAAUUUUGCUCAGAAAACGAAUUCAAAGCAGCUUAUUAUCGGAUGAGCGCAGGAUAAAUCUUUUACAGAUGUAUGGAGUUGUAACGGCUCAAAAAGAGUUGACGUCUAAUAUGGCUGACGCACUCAAAUUUAUAAAAACCAUACACAAUCACAAAAUAGAGGACAUUGAGUGGGAUUUAAUUGGUUAAUUAGCUUAAGUAAGCUCAGGUACAGGUAUAUAGUAUGGGUUUUUGUCAGCCUAAAAAUUUCCUCUGGCGACUCAACGUAAUCUUUAUUUUUUAAUUUGCUAUGAAUCCAAGAGGUAUGAGUAAUUGUUGGCUUUAACUCAACUGAGAAACUUAUAAAGAAUCGUCUUUAUUUUUUUUCAGUAUUUGCAAGAUCGAAUUUUUUUCGUGUAAGUUGCACUUGAAUGUGUGCAAAAAUUAAUUGAAAGACUGUUUAAAAUUAAUACAAUAAAUGACCUGAUUUGGAUACAAAAUUGAAAUCCCAGUCUCUACUCUUCUUUCUCUUUCCUCGUUUCGAAGCAACAUAACCCUUAAUCAACUUUUUCAAUCAUUAAAAUUCAUCCGCAUGAGUGUGUGCCUCAGCACCAUUUACAAGGCAUAUAAUUGGAAGGAGGAUGUACAUACAAUCAUGUGAACGUUACUUGAUUUUUCAUCGCGUCCUGCCUGUCGAUGG
rnacentral:lncRNA from 1 species